GAUCACUGAAGUUAAGCAACGCCGAGUCUGGUUAGUACCUAGAUGGGUGAUCUCUUGGGAAUUCUAGGUGCUGUAAG
rnacentral:rRNA from 1 species